GCUGGUACAGACACAGAAGCAUCAGAGUGUGGACUCAGUUGAGACAUUUCGGUGGAUCACCCAUUUGCAGAUGAUGAAGACGGGCAACUACAGGAUGCGCUUUCACAUGACAAGGCAAUUGCAUCGGAUAUCUCCAUGGCUGAUAUUCUCCGACUUGAAGAAGAAAUCCGAAGGUUAAACCACGAGGUCUACAAGCUGAAGGCACAUAUGGCACAUACGAGAAAUGACACAAGCGUAUUUUCAGAAUGACUCUGCUGCAGUGAAGUUUUACUCUGGACUUCCCAACUAUGCAAUGUUGCUUACAG